CCUACGGGAGGCAGCAGUGAGGAAUAUUGGUCAAUGGGCGCGAGCCUGAACCAGCCAUGCCGCGUGAAGGAUGACUGCCCUACGGGUUGUAAACUUCUUUUGUAAAGGAAUAAAGUGAGGCACGUGUGCCUUUUUGUAUGUACUUUACGAAUAAGGAUCGGCUAACUCCGUGCCAGCAGCCGCGGUAAUACGGAGGAUCCGAGCGUUAUCCGGAUUUAUUGGGUUUAAAGGGUGCGUAGAUGGGUUGAUAAGUUAGUUGUGAAAGUUUGGGGCUCAACCGCGAAAUUGCAGUUGAAACUGGUGGUCUUGAGUACAGUAGCGGUAGGCGGAAUGCGUGGUGUAGCGGUGAAAUGCUUAGAUAUCACGCAGAACUCCGAUUGCGAAGGCAGCUCACUGGACUGCAACUGACGUUGAUGCACGAAAGUGUGGGUAGCAAACAGGAUUAGAUACCCUGGUAGUC
rnacentral:rRNA from 1 species